CCCGGGUUUGCAUUCGGUCCCGCCCACUCCCCAGUCUCUCCCGCAUCCCCGAGAGUCACCCCCUUUCCCAGUGGGCGCUGCCGGUCCUCCUGCCCCACCCCUUGAUCGGCCUGAGUCCAGCACCACCCUGUCCCCAGGCUCCGCCCCGCUGUGAUCUCUUAUCUCCAGCCGUACCCCCUUUUCUCGGUGGCACCUUUCCAGAGCCCAGCGCCCUCUUGCAGUCCAAGCCUGAGACCGUCCCCAUCGCUCACCCAGAGUCCCCUGGAGACCUCAGGGCCGGCCAGUCCUUUAGGCCCCGCUUCUCUGUUAGGCCCUCCUGUGUUCCAGACCCCGUUCACACCCAAGAGCCCGCGCUGGAGCCGGCACCCCCGGUGUGGGAUGGAGGGUGUAGUGAACUCCCUCACCUACAGAAAGAGGCCUCGCCUUCCCAGACACUGUCUAUCCUCAGGGAGGCCCCGCCCCACUGGCCAUCUAGGUGCCGCCCUAAAAUGGGACACUGCCCCUUCCCACGAUGGUCCGCACCAUCCCUGUUGGCUUCCCCCACUUCACCCCUCCUGGCUCGUGAACUCUCACCCCAGUCCGGGUGGGUACACCCACCUCAUUGCUCCCGACCCUGCCCUGCAAUCCAUCAAAUUCCACAUGGGGUCAAGGUCCUGUGCAGACGAUCCCCACUCACUCUGCUGCUGAGCUCGGGGACCACCAAGAUGUUGGUGGCUUUGUACCUGCUCUGCUGGUGCGAGUGGGAAGCCCUGGCCCAGGCAGCAGUGUCCGGUCUCUUUUACUGCUGAGAUGGGAACGUUCCCGCCGCCGGGUGGUGUAGAAGAAACCUUUCAUUGAGGAGAAGGUGAGACUUGAAGGAGGCAGAAACUCACAGCACCCUCCCCCCGGGGGUGGGGGUGGGGGUGAGGGCUCUGACCUUUGCCAAUUUCCCUUAACGGCCAAAGUUCUCCUGCUGCCAAAACUAAGUCCACCAAAAGUAUCUGACAAAUUCCUCCCAUGACCCGGCCCUGCUAAACCCCAGAAAACUCAGAGCCUGCCUUAGCCAGUCGCCAUUUCCCUCUUGGAAAAUAUGCCCCUCUGCAUCGCUGAUCCCUUGAGGUCUGUGGCCAUUUCUCUUUGGUUUUGUCUUUCAUGUGCUUUCGAGACUCACCCCUGGUUGACCCCGAAUGGAAGGAACACCACCUCUCUGGCAAGGACCUGAAGCCAGAGGAGGUUGAGCCCCUUCCCAACAGAGAAGACCCCCCCUGCUUCUCCUGCACAAGGCCUAGGCAGCCUGCCCCACUGGUGGCCUGGGACAGCUCCCCUCUCCCACAGGGGAACAGCCGGCCUCUCUCCGGGUGGAAAGGGAAGUCUGACUUCUUUUCCUGUAAGAGAAGUCCCACCCCUCAAAUACGGAACAGGAAAUCCUGCCUGGGUCCAGCACGAGAUAAGGAGAUGUCCCACCUCCCCUUCCUGGUCUGGCAGGAAGUUGCCCCCCUCCCCGGCAGAUACGGAACAGGAAAUCCUGUCUGUGUCUGAAAAUGAGAAGCCCCAUCUUUUGCCUGUAGCCCUUUCCUACAGGACAGGAAGAGUGGAAAAGCAACCUGUCUGGAUCGAGGAUUUCCCCUUGGUUCCCGGCAGUGACUGUGCCCCACCCCAUGCAGCCAUAGAUCAGCCCGAGAGAGUCCAGGGCCUAAAGGAGGGCUCAGCGGCCAUCAUGAACACCUAUGUGUCAUGGCCUACCUUCCUCUUUGGCAGCUUUCCUGCUGCUCCCUGACCAGCAUGGCCCAGAUGACCCCAGGGAACUCACGACCCCACUCCCUGAUGGAGUGCCCCCCAGACCCUGGCUCCUCACCAACUACACCUGCACGGGGCACCCUGCCCGUGUCCGACACCAGGCAAGUGGGCAGGGAGGGCAGAGCUCGGGAAGCGUCUCCACCCCACCAGCCCCGCGGAGCUCAGCGCCCCUGCUGCCAGGACGUCCCUCCGCUCUGAGCAGGCCCCCUCCGGGACGCACUGCAUGUAUCUGGGGUGAGUGUUGGCAGGAGGUGGCCACAUGCCCGGCAAGGCCAGAGGACACUCCAUUGUCCCCUCCUCCCCCACGCCACCCCCACCCUGUGCCGGGUGCAGCCGUGCCAGGCACCGCGUGCCCAGAGCUUGUGUUGCCCUGGAGUUGGGAGGGCUUCUCUUCAAAAGACUCAUUUAGCAUCCCUGCCCCAGAACAGUAACUUCCAGAACCCGCCUCCUCCCCUGCCCACAGCUGGAGAGGACCCAUGCCAGGCUGGUCCACACGCAGGACUGAGUUCUGCCAGGGCAGAGGGAAAGAAAACAAGACCCAGCCGAGUAGAGGUCUGAGGCCAGGGCAGUGAGGCGGAAGGAAAGGCCCGGCAGCGGCGGGGGAGGCGGGAGCUCUGGGAAAGAGCCAGGGAUGGCAGGCCCAGGACACAGAAUGCAGACCCAGAUGCUGGGAAGCCAACUGCAGGCAUCGCAGCCAGCCCCAGGGCACCCACGCUCCAUGGGAGGCAGACAAUGACACGCACAGAGGCCUGGGCCAUGGCCACGUGACAGUCACACGGCUGCUCCACACUGGCAGCAUCUUCCUCCUGAGAGACUGUCUGUGGGUCUGCUGGCCUUUUUUAGACCAAGUGACGGGGUGGCUAUAACCUACACAGCAUCCUGCGGUGAAAAAGGGCAUGGGCUUUGGACCCAGAACACGCAGGUUCCAUUGGCUCCGUACCCAGCUUCAGCAGUGAGUGACUCCAGGUGAGACUCAACCUUGGGGUCUCUGUCUUCUCACCAUGGAGCAGCACCGAGAGCCAGGUCUGCUAUGUCCUUGUCCCCUUGCUGAGAAUGGAUCCCAGGGCCUCACAUGUGCUCUACCCUUGAGCCAGGCUCCAGUCCCCCAAAUGGAAACUUUGUUUUCUUCUUUUUCACCUCUAAAUCAGGAGCCAAUCCCUGCUUUGCUUUCUGAGAGUUCUCUUGCAGCCCAGGGACUCGGCUGAAGGUUUCUGGGGUGGCUUCUGUACCUGGAGGCUGGCCCCUUGCGAGAGGUGGGAGUCCUGGGCCCCAGUGUCAGGCCACCUGCACUGUCUCAGCUGCCUGCAUGAUAAAACUUGAAGUCAACAUUCAACCCAUCUCAACACCCAGACAUCGUCAGUAAAACCUUCUUACAGCGAUGGUUUGGGGGGCCACAGUCAGCACCUACUUUCUAUGCUAAAUUCCAUUUUCUUAUAAAACUACAAGGUAGAACAUCCUGAGAGCAUGGCCACCCAGGAUCAGACAGAUGAGGGGCCAUAAAAAUUCAGCCCCUCUAGCUAGGGGCUCCCAGUCCUCACGGUGCCACCUGCCUGCUCCCCAGCUCCCUGUGCAGGCUGCUGCUGGGGACAGAGGCCAGCUCCUACAGCCCGUGGCCCAGCUUUCUCAUAUCCCUGGCUGUGCUCCCUGGCUACAUCCAGUCCCUGGAUUAGUGACGUCACCCUACAACAUGGUCAUUGGACUCCUAUGGAGAACACGGAUGGCUUUCUGGGUGCCAGGUGAUACCAUGGGAUGCCUGGGUAGCAGGAUGAGUCUGCCUGCCUGGGGACCCUGGGCACCCCUGGCUCAUGUGACAUCCUGGGAUUGGAGCCUCACAGGGGUCAGACUGGGAGGAAUCCAGGUGACGUCACCCACCCACAGGCUGUUUGCGUCACUGGUCUCCCUACAUCUCAGGCAACUCCAGAGCUCGGCAGGCCACACACGGGAGGUCACCCCUGCUCUCUGCUCUCCUUCCUCUGGACUCCCUGAUGCUCAUCCAGAGCCCAAGGGAUGCCCUAAUCCAGACAAAGAUAGAGAAGAUCCCUGCAGGAGCUGCAUUCUCCAAGGAGCUGUCCUUCCCGGGAGCGUCAUCCAGGUGGUCCUGCCCCUCCAGGGCGGAGUCCACACCCCAAUUCAGCCCUGCGCUGGUGGGAUGACGCAGAAAACCCCACUUUCCAGGACCAAGCUCACACACUCCAUCUCCCCUCCCGGCGAGGCCACUUCCUUUUCUAUUCCUUUUUUUUUUUUUUUU